GACGAACGCUGGCGGCGUGCUUAACACAUGCAAGUCGAACGGAAAGGCCCUGCUUUUGUGGGGUGCUCGAGUGGCGAACGGGUGAGUAACACGUGAGUAACCUGCCCUUGACUUUGGGAUAACUUCAGGAAACUGGGGCUAAUACCGGAUAGGAGCUCCUGCUGCAUGGUGGGGGUUGGAAAGUUUCGGCGGUUGGGGAUGGACUCGCGGCUUAUCAGCUUGUUGGUGGGGUAGUGGCUUACCAAGGCUUUGACGGGUAGCCGGCCUGGGAGGGUGACCGGCCACAUGGGGACUGAGAUACGGCCCAGAAUCCUACGGGAGGCAGCAGUGGGGAGUAUGGCACAAUGGGCGGAAGCCAGAUGCAGCAACGCCGCGUGCGUGAUGACGGCCUUCGGGUUGUAAACCGCUGUCGCCGGUGACGAAGCGUGAGUGACGGUAAUGGGUAAAGAAGCACCGGCUAACUACGUG
rnacentral:rRNA from 1 species